rnacentral:hammerhead_ribozyme from 1 species
AUCCAACUGACGAGUCCCAAAUAGGAUGAAACGCGCUUCCUGGAU